GUCCCGGUUGUAGACACCUGCUGUGUAGCGGGGGCCGGCGCCAAAAGCUAGUGCAUCGUUUUAUGAACAUACUCGAUUGUAAUGUGUGAAUACCUUUAACAGCUGCCGUGAACUCCUAAGUUAUAAUUAUUGUUUUCGUCCGUUUAAAGUUCCCGUCUAUUACUGCACUACAUAGGUUUAUGAAAUUUAAUUAAGCAUAGCAUCAAACGUAGAAAAAUUAUAGGUCUACCUGCGUGUUAUGUACGUCUAUGACAUUUUGGAAUUUUCAAUGCAUUCAUGUCGAUGAUAUAAUGGCCGAUAAUAAUUAAUGAUUGACUAUAAUGUUAGAUUAAUUAUUACACAUGACAUAUUUAAUUUGUUGCCCUUUUUGAAUAGCUGUAUGUGCUGUUGUCGUUCAAAAUAGUUGGAGUCAGUACUACUGACCACUUUGGCACAAAACAAAAACUAAAGGAGAGAUAUAAACUAACAACCUUCUGGGAAAAUAUCCAUCGCAUUAAAUUGGUUCUUUAUGCAAUGCUAUGUCCGUAACACAAAGUAAAAUCGGCAGGAACGGCACGCUUACAUGACAACAUUUUUGCACGAACGACUUAAUUGUAGCUCUGCUAAAUCUAACGUUGUAGAAGCCACCGUUCCAAGUGGGUUUGUUAUUAGAAUUAAACGUUUUGGAAUAUCACAAAAACGAGAACCGCAUGCCACUGUAAGGACUUAACUGUUGGUGUAGUGUUUACCUGAGGGAAUGUAUUGUGUGGUAAUAUGUUACGGGUUAUGCAUUUAGUAUUAGUGCCAAGAAACGUUUGCGUUUGCGAGCAUAAAACUGGCGGAUAAACUGACAUUGCCAACAAAGAAAAAACAGAUGAAUCACCGGAAUUGUUACUGAAGGCAAUUUGUUACUAAAACAGACCACCCGAAGACAGCAGUAAGGCGGAGGACCCCCCUAUAGACAGCAAAUCAGCCCAGCCCAUGUUCUGUUGAGAGCCGCUCGCUCGCUAUGGGCUAUGCCGGGGGAGGUGUUUGUACAGAGCGGGCCCUGCUCCCAGGUUGGUAUGACGACCACAUUGUUUACCCUGCGGUGGUGCGGUAAGGUAGGGUCGUGUGCCUGGAAACCGGGUGGAGAAACUCUGUCUUUGAAGGCGGGCAGAGGGGACACAGUCUAUGUGCCCAGCUCUGAAGUUGCUCACAAUGACAGCCUGUAGAUGCAGCAUAUAAUCAUGAUGAAAUUAAGCAUAAUUACGUAGCUCUGCAUGCCAGCGAAGCCCUCCUUAAAUCAAUACUCCAUCCCUGUUAGACGAAUUUAUUCUUUAUAGGUCUGCAAAUCUGUAUGCCUGUGUUGUUUUUCCAUAUUCACACUGUUCAGAGCCGCAAAGAUUCAGCAGUCUCGCUCAGAUGUACGGAAAUAAAGAGCCGCUGAGGUCAAAAAAAAAAAAAAAC